rnacentral:rRNA from 1 species
UACAGAGGGGGCAAGCGUUGUUCGGAAUUACUGGGCGUAAAGGGCGCGUAGGUGGCCUUCUAAGUUGAACGUGAAAUCCCUGGGCUCAACCCAGGAACUGCGUCCAAGACUGGGAGGCUUGAAUCCGGGAGAGGGAUGCGGAAUUCCAGGUGUAGCGGUGAAAUGCGUAGAUAUCUGGAGGAACACCGGUGGCGAAGGCGGCAUCCUGGACCAACACUGACGCUGAGUGAGCGAAAGCCAGGGGAGCAAACGGG